AGUCUGGCCUGCCCAAUGAGUAAUUUAAUGGCCGCAGUAUUUUGACUGUGCAAAGGUAGCAUAAUCAUUAGUUUCUUAAUUAGAAACUGGAAUGAAAGGUUAAACGAGAAAAUAACUGUCUCUUAUUAAAUUAUUUAGAAUUUUAUUUUUUAGUUAAAAAGCUAAAAUAAAUUUAAAAGACGAGAAGACCCUAUAGAGUUUAAUAAUUUUUAUUAUAAAUAAUUAUUUAUUUAUUAUUUAAUUUUUUUAAUAAAAUUUAUUUUAUUGGGGUGAUAAAAAAAUUUAUAUAACUUUUUUUUAAUAAUAACAUUAAUAUAUGAUUUUUUGAUCCAUAAAUUAUGAUUAAAAGAUUAAGUUACCUUAGGGAUAACAGCGUAAUUUUUUUUAAGAGUUCAAAUCGAUAAAAGAGUUUGCGACCUCGAUGUYGGAUUAAAAUUUAAUUUUGGUGUAGAAGCUAAAAUAU
rnacentral:rRNA from 1 species